UGGGGAAUAUUGGACAAUGGGGGCAACCCUGAUCCAGCCAUGCCGCGUGAGUGAUGAAGGCCCUAGGGUUGUAAAGCUCUUUCAGCGAGGAGGAUAAUGACGUUACUCGCAGAAGAAGCCCCGGCUAACUUCGUGCCAGCAGCCGCGGUAAUACGAAGGGGGCUAGCGUUGUUCGGAAUCACUGGGCGUAAAGCGCACGUAGGCGGACUUUUAAGUCAGGGGUGAAAUCCCGGGGCUCAACCUCGGAACUGCCUUUGAUACUGGAAGUCUUGAGUCCGAGAGAGGUGAGUGGAACUCCGAGUGUAGAGGUGAAAUUCGUAGAUAUUCGGAAGAACACCAGUGGCGAAGGCGGCUCACUGGCUCGGUACUGACGCUGAGGUGCGAAAGCGUGGGGAGCAAACAGGAUUAGAUACCCCCGUAGUCC
rnacentral:rRNA from 1 species